GGGAGGCGGCGCAGGCCGGGAGGUCGGAGGUGGCCGCUGCUCCCCGGACAGGGCUGCUUUCUUCCUCGGGGUGCUGCUGUCCCCUCCCGAGGCAGAAAGACUCACCCCUCUGGCUGCUGUGUGGGGUGGCCUUCGUGGGGAGGGGGUGCCCAUGAGGGAGGGUACAAGCGGGACUUCUGCACCAGGUCAGCAAGAUAUAAUGGCAGCUCAGACUCGGUGGAAAUGAUGAAGAUGUGAGAAGCUGGGGGCCCUUGCACAAGAGGAUUGAUUUCAGAAAACCUCCAUGCUGAAGAAGAUAAUAAUGAGCCCAUCCCCCGGAGGGGUUCAGGGCUUCAAGAAGAACUUGCUGUUUCCUACCCAGGGGAUGUCACCGUGGGCCCUUUAGUGCACCCUGUCCUAAGAGCUCACUCCUGGGAAGGGUGACAAGAGCUGGCGGGGUUGUGAAGGCGUUCUGCCGAGGAAAACAGAAAGAACACUGCUUCCAGCGUUUGGAACUGGCAGCAUGAAUGAAAGAUAUUUUAAGAUUCUUUCCAGCAUGGCAUUGGGCGUAUCCUGAGAGCCAAGGAUGCGCUUCCGCGCCUUCUCCCCAGCCUCACCUUUCGACGAUUCCAAGAGGCAGAUCUGGUCUUCAGCCAGUCUUUUUGCCAAUAAAGAGUGUGCCGGGCCUGUGUGACGACGCCCCAGGCCUAAUUUCACUCUUCUCAUUAUGCUUGAUGUUUCUGUUUUCAUUUGCUGGUUUAUAGUCCUCCCUUUUAUUGCCUCUGUGAUUUUACUUUCUUGUUGUCUGGUGGCAUAAAGGGUUUCUUAGUUUUGUAGUUUCAUGGAAACUUGGGUGGCUCAGCUGGGGGGAAGGAGACCAACAUACAGAUUUAGGAGUUGUUUGGAGAUUCCCAACUUGUGGGGAGGAAAACUCAGGAGGCACGCUGCCAGGUGGGCAUUUGGUUUUUGGAGGAAAUGUGUUUGGGUGACACAGAUUUCUGGAUUUCUUAAAAGGUGAACUACACAGAGUAGGGAUUAACACAGCACAGCUUCUGAGCAGACCACCAGCCCUGAGAGACCUGGAAAUUUAAACUUGGCAUCCAAAU